UGGACAUAUCACGUUGAAACACGGGUCCUCGCACGAUCACCGAAGUUAAGCAACGGCGAGCCUAGUUAGCACCUUGAUGGGUGAUUUCUCGCGAAUUCCAGGUACUGUAAG